GAUGAACGCUAGCGGCAGGCCUAACACAUGCAAGUCGAGGGAGGAGCUUUCGGGCUUCGGCCGGCGUACGGGUGCGUAACGCGUAUACAAUCUGCCUUUCACAUAGGGAUAGCCCGAAGAAAUUUGGAUUAAUACCUAAUGGUAUAUAGGAGUGGCAUCACAUUUAUAUUAAAGCUGAGGCGGUGAAAGAUGAGUAUGCGUUCUAUUAGCUAGUUGGAGAGGUAACGGCUCCCCAAGGCGACGAUAGAUAGGGGUUCUGAGAGGGAUAUCCCCCACACUGGUACUGAGAUACGGACCAGACUCCUACGGGAGGCAGCAGUGAGGAAUAUUGGACAAUGGUCGGAAGACUGAUCCAGCCAUGCCGCGUGCAGGAAGACGGCCUUAUGGGUUGUAAACUGCUUUUGCAGGGGAAGAAUAAGGACUACGAGUAGUUUGAUGACGGUACUCUGCGAAUAAGCAGCGGCUAACUCCGUG
rnacentral:rRNA from 1 species